UUAAGUUAUUAAGGGCGCACGGUGGAUGCCUUGGCACUAGAAGCCAAUGAAGGACGUUACUAACGACGAUAUGCUUUGGGGAGCUGUAAGUAAGCUUUGAUCCAGAGAUUUCCGAAUGGGGAAACCCAGCAUGAGUUAUGUCAUGUUAUCGAUAUGUGAAUACAUAGCAUAUCAGAAGGCACACCCGGAGAACUGAAACAUCUUAGUACCCGGAGGAAGAGAAAGAAAAUUCGAUUCCCUUAGUAGCGGCGAGCGAAAUGGGAAGAGCCCAAACCAACAAGCUUGCUUGUUGGGGUUGUAGGACACUCUAUACGGAGUUACAAAGGACGACAUUAGACGAAUCAUCUGGAAAGAUGAAUCAAAGAAGGUAAUAAUCCUGUAGUCGAAAAUGUUGUCUCUCUUGAGUGGAUCCUGAGUACGACGGAGCACGUGAAAUUCCGUCGGAAUCUGGGAGGACCAUCUCCUAAGGCUAAAUACUCUCUAGUGACCGAUAGUGAACCAGUACCGUGAGGGAAAGGUGAAAAGCACCCCGGAAGGGGAGUGAAAUAGAACCUGAAACCGUGUGCUUACAAGUAGUCAGAGCCCGUUAAUGGGUGAUGGCGUGCCUUUUGUAGAAUGAACCGGCGAGUUACGAUUUGAUGCAAGGUUAAGCAGUAAAUGUGGAGCCGUAGCGAAAGCGAGUCUGAAUAGGGCGUUUAGUAUUUGGUCGUAGACCCGAAACCAGGUGAUCUACCCUUGGUCAGGUUGAAGUUCAGGUAACACUGAAUGGAGGACCGAACCGACUUACGUUGAAAAGUGAGCGGAUGAACUGAGGGUAGCGGAGAAAUUCCAAUCGAACCUGGAGAUAGCUGGUUCUCUCCGAAAUAGCUUUAGGGCUAGCCUCAAGUGAUGAUUAUUGGAGGUAGAGCACUGUUUGGACGAGGGGCCCCUCUCGGGUUACCGAAUUCAGACAAACUCCGAAUGCCAAUUAAUUUAACUUGGGAGUCAGAACAUGGGUGAUAAGGUCCGUGUUCGAAAGGGAAACAGCCCAGACCACCAGCUAAGGUCCCAAAAUAUAUGUUAAGUGGAAAAGGAUGUGGCGUUGCCCAGACAACUAGGAUGUUGGCUUAGAAGCAGCCAUCAUUUAAAGAGUGCGUAAUAGCUCACUAGUCGAGUGACACUGCGCCGAAAAUGUACCGGGGCUAAACAUAUUACCGAAGCUGUGGAUUGUCCUUUGGACAAUGGUAGGAGAGCGUUCUAAGGGCGUUGAAGCAUGAUCGUAAGGACAUGUGGAGCGCUUAGAAGUGAGAAUGCCGGUGUGAGUAGCGAAAGACGGGUGAGAAUCCCGUCCACCGAUUGACUAAGGUUUCCAGAGGAAGGCUCGUCCGCUCUGGGUUAGUCGGGUCCUAAGCUGAGGCCGACAGGCGUAGGCGAUGGAUAACAGGUUGAUAUUCCUGUACCACCUAUAAUCGUUUUAAUCGAUGGGGGGACGCAGUAGGAUAGGCGAAGCGUGCGAUUGGAUUGCACGUCUAAGCAGUAAGGCUGAGUAUUAGGCAAAUCCGGUACUCGUUAAGGCUGAGCUGUGAUGGGGAGAAGACAUUGUGUCUUCGAGUCGUUGAUUUCACACUGCCGAGAAAAGCCUCUAGAUAGAAAAUAGGUGCCCGUACCGCAAACCGACACAGGUAGUCAAGAUGAGAAUUCUAAGGUGAGCGAGCGAACUCUCGUUAAGGAACUCGGCAAAAUGACCCCGUAACUUCGGGAGAAGGGGUGCUCUUUAGGGUUAACGCCCAGAAGAGCCGCAGUGAAUAGGCCCAAGCGACUGUUUAUCAAAAACACAGGUCUCUGCUAAACCGUAAGGUGAUGUAUAGGGGCUGACGCCUGCCCGGUGCUGGAAGGUUAAGAGGAGUGGUUAGCUUCUGCGAAGCUACGAAUCGAAGCCCCAGUAAACGGCGGCCGUAACUAUAACGGUCCUAAGGUAGCGAAAUUCCUUGUCGGGUAAGUUCCGACCCGCACGAAAGGCGUAACGAUUUGGGCACUGUCUCAACGAGAGACUCGGUGAAAUCAUAGUACCUGUGAAGAUGCAGGUUACCCGCGACAGGACGGAAAGACCCCGUGGAGCUUUACUGUAGCCUGAUAUUGAAAUUCGGCACAGCUUGUACAGGAUAGGUAGGAGCCUUUGAAACGUGAGCGCUAGCUUACGUGGAGGCGCUGGUGGGAUACUACCCUAGCUGUGUUGGCUUUCUAACCCGCACCACUUAUCGUGGUGGGAGACAGUGUCAGGCGGGCAGUUUGACUGGGGCGGUCGCCUCCUAAAAGGUAACGGAGGCGCUCAAAGGUUCCCUCAGAAUGGUUGGAAAUCAUUCAUAGAGUGUAAAGGCAUAAGGGAGCUUGACUGCGAGACCUACAAGUCGAGCAGGGUCGAAAGACGGACUUAGUGAUCCGGUGGUUCCGCAUGGAAGGGCCAUCGCUCAACGGAUAAAAGCUACCCCGGGGAUAACAGGCUUAUCUCCCCCAAGAGUUCACAUCGACGGGGAGGUUUGGCACCUCGAUGUCGGCUCAUCGCAUCCUGGGGCUGUAGUCGGUCCCAAGGGUUGGGCUGUUCGCCCAUUAAAGCGGUACGCGAGCUGGGUUCAGAACGUCGUGAGACAGUUCGGUCCCUAUCCGUCGUGGGCGUAGGAAAUUUGAGAGGAGCUGUCCUUAGUACGAGAGGACCGGGAUGGACAUACCUCUGGUGUACCAGUUGUCGUGCCAACGGCAUAGCUGGGUAGCUAUGUGUGGACGGGAUAAGUGCUGAAAGCAUCUAAGCAUGAAGCCCCCCUCAAGAUGAGAUUUCCCAACUUCGGUUAUAAGAUCCCUCAAAGAUGAUGAGGUUAAUAGGUUCGAGGUGGAAGCAUGGUGACAUGUGGAGCUGACGAAUACUAAUCGAUCGAAGACUUAAUCAA
rnacentral:rRNA from 2 species